rnacentral:lncRNA from 1 species
GUGAACAAGGCAAAGUGAAGGAAUACAUGGGCAAGCAGGAGCGCUUGGAGGAGAGAUUAGCCCAACUAGAGAGUGAAAACCUGUUUCUGCGACAACAGCUGGAUGACGCGCAAAACAAAAAUCGAGAGCAAAGAGAAGAUGUAAUGGAUAGCCAAGAACGGUUUCAGGAUAUCCUGAAGACCUUUCAAGACCAAAAGGAAAAGGAAACUCUGAUGCUGCAGGAAAGCCUUAAGAAGUCAACCAAUGAGCUUCAUCUUCUCAAGGAGAGGCUGUCUCGGGCUGAAAAUGUGAAAACACAGAGAGCCGCUUGAAAAGGAAAAUGCCGAGUUAAAAGAUACAAACAAAAUGCAAGCGGGCACAAUUGAAGAGCUUCAGAGAAACCCGCCGGGUCCAAGUUCGGUAAGUCGGGUUUUUUCUGUCAUAACCGAAAAGGAAUUUUAAUUGUGUUACCAAUAUUAUAUGAGACUAUUUUAGAAAAUAGGA